ACUACAUCGUCAUGCUGACAUGUGCUGUGUGCCUGGUGACCUACAUGGUCAUGGCCGCCAUCCUGCACAAGCUGGACCAGUUGGAUGCCAGCGGGGCCGCGCCAUCCCCUUCUGUGGGCAGCGGGGCCGCUUCAAGUACGAGAUCCUCGUCAAGACAGGCUGGGGGCCGGGGCUCAGGUACCACGGCCCACGUGGGCAUCAUGCUGUAUGGGGUGGACAGCCGGAGCAGCCACUGGCACCCUGGACGGCGACAGAGCCUUCCACCGCAACAGCCUGGACAUCUUCCGGAUGGCCACCCCGCACAGCCUGGGUAGCGUGUGGAAGAUCCGAGUGUGGCAUGACACAAAGGGCUCAGCCCUGCCUGGUUCCUGCAGCACAUCAUCGUCAGGGACCUGCAGACGGCACGCAGCACCUUCUUCCUGGUCAAUGACUGGCUUUCGGUGGAGACGGAGGCCAACGGGGGCCUGGUGGAGAAGGAGAUGCUGGCCGCGAGCGACGCAGCCCUGUUGCGCUUCCGGCGCCUGCUGGUGGCUGAGCUGCAGCGCAGCUUCUUUGACAAGCACAUCUGGCUCUCCAUAUGGGACCGGCUGCCUCGUAGCUGUUUCACUCGCAUCCAGAGGGCCACCUGCUGCGUUCUCCUCAUCUGCCUCUUCCUGGGUGCCAACGCCGUGUGGUACGGGGCUGUUGGUGACUCUGCCUACAGGACGGGGCGUGUGUCCAGGCUGAGCCCGCUGAGCGUCGACACAGUCGCUGCUGGCCUGGUGUCCAGCGUGGUUGUCUAUCCCGUCUACCUGGCCAUCCUCUUUCUCUUCUGGAUGUCCCGGAGCAAGGUGGCUGGGAGCCCGAGCCCCACACCUGCCGGGCAGCAGGUGCUGGACAUUGACAGCUGCCUGGACUCGUCCAUGCUGGACAGCUCCUUCCUCACGUUCUCAGGCCUCCACGCUGAGGUGAGGUCUCUACUGGGGGUCCUGGGCUGGGCUGGGGGUCUUGCCACCUUGGCGCAGCUUGGACUCAAGACACUGUGCACCUCUUAGCAGGCCUUUGCUGGACAGAUGAAGAGUGACUUGUUUCUGGAUGAUUCUAAGAGGUUAUCAAUACUCUGGCUGACCUUCGUCAUCGUGGGACUGACUUUGGUGGAAGUCUUUGGUUACUUAUCAUUACUGUGUUUCUGAGAAGUUAUAAAUUUGCCAUCUCCCUCCGCACAAGUUACCUUCUGUGUCUUUCCUGAAGACUAUCUUCCUCUCAAAAUGGACAUGAUGGAUCCACGGAUGUACAGCAGAGAGCCAGGAGGUCCAACCGCCGUAGACAGGAAGGAAUUAAAAUUGUCCUGGAAGCCAUCUUUACUUUAUGGAGACAGGUGAAACCAAAGUUCGAGCUAAAAUCCAUAAGAUGAAGGUGACAACAAAAGUCAACCGUCAUGACAAAAUCAAUGGAAAGAGGAAGACCGCCAAAAACAUCUGAGGAAACUAAGCAUGAAAGAACGUGAGCAUGCAGAAAAGGAGAGGCAGC
rnacentral:sRNA from 1 species